GUUAUAUGUAUUAACCCUGACUAACAUUCAUCAUUAUAAAUCUUUUAGUGCAAUAUAAAUAUUAAAACACAGGUUUUGUCUUAUAGAAUAACUUGUCAAAGAAUUCAAAUACAUGUACAGAAAAAUGCUAAAUGAGUGACAUGGCGCAUGAGUUAAAAAUAUUUUUUUUUAUCAUAGUUCUUGGAUUAAUUACUCUUUAAAUAACAUUGACCAUGGAUUUUGAAAUGGAAUCAAAUAGAAAAUGCAAGAACCUAUAUAUUGUUCUAUGCAUGCUCAAUUUGUUUUGAUUCAACAAUUUUAACGAUUUCUUGACAAAAACAACUUUUCCAAAUGUAAGACUGAAUGAAUAUGAUUUUCUUAAUAUAAC
rnacentral:lncRNA from 1 species